rnacentral:rRNA from 1 species
CCCGGCCCGGACACUGUAAGGAUUGACAGAUUGAUAGCUCUUUCUUAAUUCAGUGGGUGGUGGUGCAUGGCCGUUCUUAGUUGGUGGAGCGAUUUGUCUGGUUAAUUCCGAUAACGAACGAGACUCUGGCCUAUUAAAUAGACGAUAUAUUUAAAAGUAUAUCGCGCUUCUUAGAGGGACAAGCGGCGUCUAGCCGCAUGAAAUAGAGCAAUAACAGGUCUGUGAUGCCCUUAGAUGUCCGGGGCUGCACGCGCGCUACACUGAAAUAAGCAGAGUGCGUUUUGCCUAGUUCGGAAGAACCGGGUAACCCAAGUAAAUUCUUUCGUGCUUGGGAUAGGGAAUUGCAAUUAUUUCCCUUAAACGAGGAAUUCCCAGUAAAUGCGGGUCAUAAGCUCGCGUUGAUUACGUCCCUGCCCUUUGUACACACCGCCCGUCGCUACUACCGACUGGACGAUUUCAUGAGGCUUUUGGACUGUUGCUAAUGGCGAUUCGUCGGCAUUUGUGAUCGGGAAUCUAUCCGAAUGGUAUCGUUUGGAGGAAGUAAAAGUCGUAACAAGGUUUCCGUAGGUGAACCUGCGGAAGGAUC